AUCGCUUCUCGGCCUUUUGGCUAAGAUCAAGUGCAGUUUCUCUACAUCCUUGUCAGCAUUUGGUAUUAUCACUCUUUUUAGAAUCUUGCUGAUGAAGGGCUUGAUCUCACAACCCUGGGAUCAUGAGCUGAGUGAAAUCAAGAGUCAGGGGGCGCCUG
rnacentral:snRNA from 1 species